GCUAGUUUACCUGACCGUGAUCGUUCUUUUUGAGUCCAGAAACAAAAAACAUUUCUCAUAUUUCAUUAAGAUCUAGUUUUACGGAUGGAGUCAGUGGACAGGGAGGUUUCAGAUGUGUGAUAACAUCUUUUCUUUCUUCCCCAUUUUUAAAUGUCUUGAUUAAGCUGAGGACUGCCUGUCCUGCCCCGCCCUCCCCCCUAUAAAUUACUGCAAACAGCAUCACCGCCUCCACUUGUACAGCUGAAGACAGCAGAAAGCUUCCUCCACCUGAGCAGCUUGUUGGAGACGAGCAGCUUGUUGGAAACAGCAGUGAAGAUGAAUCUCCUGCCCUGGAUGAUGCUGGUGUUCCUGCUCUCAGCUGGGACCAGUUUGGCUGAUGUGGACGUGAACUGGCUGACUCGUACAGGCCAUCAGGACAGAGUACAGGAUAAACGUACAGUUCUGUCUGGCCGCGAACAUCCCACUGAGCGGAGACCAAAACGCGAUUGGUAACGCCCUACAGUUUGACCGCUACAGUGGAAAUGUUGAAGACAUGAUUAAUGGGGGUGAUGUGGUGUACAAAGGCCACAGUGUGAUCGUAGCCAAAGCAGCAGGUGUUCAACACGCAGAACCUCUAGUUCUGCGAGAGUUGAGCACAUUGAGGAGAAACAGUGAGGGAAACUUCCUGCUCAUCUACUCUUACCUCUCCCCAUGUGGAGACAAGUGUGCAAACCCAGACGAUCGAAAGCACAACAUCCUUAAAUACUUUAGAAACAAUGCCCUUGCACGUUGGAAAAAUAAUUAUGCCUUCGUGUUUACAAGAGUCUUUGAUCAGCCCAACUUUGGUGAUCCUCCUACCAAAGAGGAUUUGAAAAACGCACUGAGACAGCUCGGGAGUUCCGGGCUUGGUCUCAAAAACAUUUUCCGCUGUUUUGGUGAAAAUACAGAAUUAGAGUGCCACAGCUGCUCCUCUCAGGGAAGAGUUUCAAAUGUUUGUAUUAAUAACAACUGGCCUCAAGGCGGAGGAAGCAGCAGCAGCAGCAGAAGUAGCAGCAGAAGCAGCAGCAGCAGCAGAAGUAGCAGCAGAAGUAGCAGCAGAAGCAGCAGCAGAAGUAGCAGCAGAAGUAGCAGCAGAAGCAGCAGCAGCAGCAGAAGUAGCAGCUACAACAGAGGGCAAGGAAAACAUAGAAUCAGCAGCAGCAGCAGCAGCAGCAGCAUUAGCAGAAGAAAGAGACCCAGAUACAGGAGUAAAAGUGAAAGCAGCAGCAGCAGCAGCUACAACAGAGGGCGAAGCAGACGUAGAAGCAGCAGCAGAGGUUAGAGCACUUCAAGGCUCUGCUGGGACUCAGGUGGUUUAUGAGAACCUGAAUCCUGAGACAGGAAGUUUCUGGAUCCUAAAUAGCGCAGCAGCUUCCUGUCACAGCUCAUUAGUUCAUUGCGAAAGCUUCUGCUUUAAACGUCUGCACUCUGCUCAGUGCAAACAAGAUGCUUCUGUUUGUGUCCUUUCAGAGACAUCAGCUGAAGAAACGUGGUCUGGUCCCAGUAUAAGAUACGUGGCAGUGGUUCCCACUGAGAUAAUCCCAUUAAAAUGUUUUUUUUACCAUAACAGAUGUAAAAGCUUUGAUUUCCUGCUACACAUAUAUUAUUUAGUGAAUUAUCUUGUGGCAUGUCACUAUAAUGAACAAUUACAUGUUUAAUAAUGAUCAUAUUUUAUAGUUUAGAUGCCUCCUGUUCUCUGUGAACUCACAACAUUUUUAUUUUCCCAAAAGUCAAAGCAAAGACCCGUUAUUGUGCUGCAUGUUCAUUUUGAAUAAAGCUUGAUUCAGCAUCAAA